CCAGCCUGUUGUUGCAAGAUAGACUGCAUUAAAUUAUUAAACGAGCUUCAAGGAAGUAAUUUAUCUAUUAAGGAUACAUGGGAGGUUUACAGGGUUUGGAGGUCCAGUUCAUUAUCAACACGUUGAAGAUAUGCCUUUCCUAUUGCACAGUUUAUACAGAAAGGUGGAUCUUAUUUCAACUACUAUAUGGUGUUUCUGAAGAAACUAUAAGAUAAUUUAUUGCCCCAUCAAUCAUAUUCAUUGAUGAGAUAGAUGCAAUUGCUUCCAAGCGAGAAAACCUGCAAAGGAAGAUGGAACGGCAGAUAGUAACACAACAUAUGACUUGCAUGGAUGAAUCACAUCACACUCAGUCUUCUGAUGAUUCCCAAAAACAUCUGAGAAGAAGCUUGGUUAUGUUCUUGUUAUCGGAGCAACAAACAGACCAAAUGCACUUGACCAAGCUUUAAGGAGAGCUGGACGGUUUGAUCGUGAGAUUUCUUUGGAUGUACCUGAUGAAAUAACCACUGCUAGAGAUCCUGUCAGUUCUUACUCGAAAAUGUAAAUGUGUGUUUUGGAGAGAGUGGAGUCAAUGAGAUAUAGUUUUAUAUAAUAAUUAUGUCCUUUUGAACUUUUAAGUGUUUCAUAAAAUUUCAAACUAAGUAUUGCAUGAUUGCAAGGUUAGGUGAUCAAUGGAUUCCUAUCGUUCAAUU